rnacentral:lncRNA from 1 species
UUUUUUUAAGGUUGUUGCAUGAUAUUACAAUACAACAGUUACAUGAAAUCAUUGCUCAUAUAGAUAGAGCAUAAGUUUCAUAUUUAAUAUUUAAGAAGACUUUUUUUAUUUCUAAUUACUUUGUGUUGCUAGUAAAUGUGGACAUUCUGAUGGCUUCAUACAUGAUAUUACCCACUACAAAUAUAAUAAUUUAACAAAAAGAAAUGAUUGAGAUGAUAUUACCCAGCUAAAAAGUAUAAUAAUUUAACAAAUAUAAGAUUAAGUAAAGAAAAGUGGCUAGUUAUCGGGGAAGGGCAUUUUUACAGCCGUAUUUGCCUCUGCGUCCGUAUCAAUUUCAAAGAUGAAUCUUGAACGCAAUCAAGAGGUAGACACAUGUCGUAAAACUGUCACAUUUAUUUUAAAAAUGAACAUAGUUAAGGAGUGUACAUAUUUCGAAAAUAUCUGCAUGACUUUAGAGAUAGAAAGAAAGGGCCAAAAGUUACAACUCCUUACCUAAGAGAAACAUAGAAUUCUUCAAAUGUUUCAUCUUCAUAUUAACCUAGAGGGAGCAACACGAUCAUAGUUACAGAGUCAGUCACUAUUUUCAGACGUAAAUUAUUGGUUUUUUUUACGAGGUGAAUUUAAGUAUACUUACUAUUGGUCUCUUUCAAAAUAUCAAAUAUCAAGUUAAAGUUAAAAUUAAUAGCAACCUCUAAAUUCUUUAACUCUCUUCCAAUCUUCUAAUUUGAAAAGAAAAAUAUUAUAAUUAACUCAUCACACAUUAAUAGCAAGCUCUGGAUCUUUUAACUCUCUUCCAAUUUUUUAAUUUGAAAGCAAAAAUAUUAUAAUUAAUUCAUCACACAUAAAUAAAGUAGGUAAUAAAAUAAGUAUCUUCUACAAAAUAAAAUGCCAAAUGCAUGUUAUUUUUUAAUAUUUAUUUCAAAAUAUACAAAUUUUAUGAUCAUACUUUUAAAAGCUCAAAUUAUUUAAAACUAUAGGUGAUAUUAAAUAUGAAAAAGGUUUAUAUAGAGCCGAUGCUCUAAACAAUCAAAUUAGAGCGCAUGAUAUAUUUCAAAAAAAAUAAAAUUCCUAGAAACAAUGCAUCUUCUACAAAAUAAAAUGCCGAAUGCAUGUUAUUUUUUAAUAUUUAUUUCAAAAUAUACAAAUUUUAUGAUCAUAUUUUUAAAAGCUUAAAUUCUUUAAAACGAUAGGUGAUAUUAAAUAUGAAAAUAGUUUAUAUAGAGCCAAGGCUCUAAACAAUCAAAUUAGAGCACACCUCAAAAUUUUCAUUAGAAGAAGUUGUUUUGAUGUCCAAAUAUCCUCAAAUUGAUCAUCUCAACAUCAAGAUGCAUGGAUAUGAGAAAAAAAUGGAUUUUGAAUUUGAAAAUAGUACAUCUUUUAAUGUAUUUUUGGACCAUGAAUUUUUGAGAUUUUUAAGGUUUUGUAGAUAUGCUCGAUCUACAUUGUCUUUUAAACUUUAAGUUUUACAAUUAGAGAUGAAAAUACAUUUUAAGGCUAUCACCAAGAUUUCCAGUAUUGAAAUCACUUUCUUGAUACUAUUGAAGUUUGAAGAUGCGUUCAACUCUAAAUGUUUAGAGCCUCGGCUCUAUACAAACUGUACCUAUUGAAUAUAAUUAUAUUUAAAAUUUAUAAUUAAAAAUAAAAUGAAUUAAUAAACCAAUUAAUCUGAGGAUGUUUUUAGAGUUAUAAUAUAUUAUUAACAAGGUAUAACAAAGUAAAUUUCUUUCAUGAAUAUCAUAAUUAUAUGUUUUUAAUUAUAAAUAUUUUAAUAUGUAUUUAUUUUAUUAUAAUUUUGUUAAUAUUAAUGUAAUAAUUCAUGUAUUAUUAUUUUUAGACAUGAAAACUAAUUUUCAAGUGGUGAGAUAAAAAUAUUUGAGAAAGAAAGAGAGGAACGUUGAAAAUGUUUACUGUAAAAAAAAGAAAGAUGGCUUUAACAUAUAUAGGAAUAAAUAUGAUGGAAGAUAUCGGGUAUGAAUAUGAUAGAAGAUAGCGGUCUUUUUACCAAGUAAAUUCAAUUGUAUUUACCAUUAACCUCCUCCAAUGUUCUAAGUUAAAGUUUAAAUUAAUAGCAACCCUUCACUCUUUAACUUUCUUCUAAUUUUCUAAUUUUAAAAAAUAUAUAUUAUAAUUAACUAUUAUCCAAGUUCAAAUGGAUCUUGAACUCUAUAGCUUUGUUUAGUAUAAUCUUGAAAUCUAAAAUUUGACAAUUGAAAUUAAAAUGGUAUUUAGAAUAAAGUACAGGACAUUUGCUUUUUCACAUUUCACAUCGGGCUUAAUGAUCUUGAAUUCUAAAGUUUUAAAAUUGAAGUUAAAAUGGUAUUUGGAAUAAGGCAUUUAUAAAAAGCAUCUAUAAAAGACUAUUCACAUUCAAAGCACGGAUCUAAUCACACAUAAAUAAAGUACCUAAUAGAAAUGACAUCUUCUACGAAUCAAAAUGUCAAAUGCAUGUUACUUUUUAAUAUUUAUUUCAAAAUAUACAAAUUUUAUAACCAUAGUUUUAAAAACUCAAAUUCUUUAAAACUACAAAUGAUAUUAAGUAGCUAUAUAUUAAAAUUUAUAAUUAAAAUAAAAAUAAUUUAACUUGAGGAUGUUUUUAGUAGUUAUAAUAUAUUAUUAAUAAAAUAAUAACAAAGUAAUUAUGAUUUUUUCGUGAAUAUCACAAAUAAAGUAAUAACAAAAUAAUUAUAUUUUUUUUAUAAAUAUCACAAUUAUAUGUUUCUAAUUAUAAAUAUUAUAAUAUGUAUUUAUUUUUUAUUACAAUUUUAUUCAUAUUAAUGUAGUAAUUCAUGUAUUGUAAUUUUAGGACAUGAAUUUUCAUAUUAUGAAAACUAAUUUCAAAGUGAGGAAGUAAAGAUAUUUAUAAAGAAAUUGAAAAGUUCUCCCUCGAAAAAACGAAAGAUAUAGGGGAUAUUGGUUUUUUUACUAAAGAGAAUUCAAGUAUACUUACCAUUGGUCUCCUCCAAUAUUCCAAGUUAAAGUUAAA